GGUGCUUGUGAUGAUUUCAGGGUAAUCUAGUAACCAUGAUUAUUGGUGUCUACAGUGGCAAUGAGUUCUUUUGGGAUCUCGUGGUGACUGCUGAUGGUAUUCUCCUGAUCUCUUUUUCUUUUACAGAAAUAUUUGCGACUGAGUAAGAGGACGUUGCAGCCUGGCAGCAGAUAUCGCCAGCCCAUGGGGACAAGCGACCAGGAAGCCGCUCCCUCCCAGAUGGGCCGCCAUGGCUAACUGGGACCUCCAGCACCAACAAGGGGAUCAUGGGGAUUGAACUCGGGUCUUUCCAUUUGUGAGGCAGGCAACAGAACCACUGAGCUAAAUCCCCAGCCCUGUCACACCUGUUUUAAUAAGUUGCUCUCCCUCAUAUGACAACGCUGUGAUUUUCUGGGGUCAAAAUCAUCACCAUAGUCCAGUACCAAAGGCCUGGGUGCUAAGCCAAAUAGCAACUUCUCAUCCAUGAAGAAGUACAAACAGCAAAUAAAUAUAUUUUAAAAUGUUCACCUCUGGUCCUUCGAGAGAUGCAAAUGAAAACAAUGCUGAGAUUCCAUCUCUAUCCAGAAAGAAUGGCUGCUAUCAUGAAAUCAACCAAUAACAAAUGCUGGUGGGGCUGUG
rnacentral:lncRNA from 1 species